rnacentral:rRNA from 1 species
AAUUAUUAAAAAAAAAGUAGAUUUAAAAUUGUAUUAAAACUGACACUAGUAGGCAAGUAGAAAAUACAUAAACGAUGGUAUAAUAUAAUUAAAGGAACUCGGCAAAAUAACUCUGUAACUUUAGGGAGAAAGAGGUCUUAAAGAAGAAUUAAAAAAAAAGAGGAGAGCGACUGUUUAAUAAAAACACAGGACUUUGCUAAAUUUAAAUAUGAUGUAUAAAGUCUGACACCUGCCCAGUGCUGUAAAGUAAAAAUUUUAAAGAGUUAGCUUUAAAUAUAAGCUUCAGUAAACGGCGGCUGUAAUCCUGACGGUCCGAAGGUAGCGAAAUUCCUUGGCGAUUAAUUGUCGUCCUGCAUGAAUGGUGUAACGACUGCCCUACUGUCUCCAAAUAUAGCUCGACGAAACCGAAUUAUAGGUGAAAAUGCCUAUUAAUUCUAACGGGACGGAAAGACCCUAUGCACCUUUACUAGAAUUGUAUUGCAUUUGAAGUUUGGGUACUGUACGAUAUUCGACCUUACCCCCACUUCUUUAAAGUUCUUUGACAUACAUUUAUGGAACUACUAAUACAAGUGCUAGUUUAACUGGGGUGGUUAUCUUCUAAAAAGUAACGAAGGUGAACAUAAGGUAUUUUUUUAUUACAAUAAUUAAAAAAAAAACUUAAAUUACCAAUACAUAUAUUGGUAAUUAACGCAGGAAGCGUUUGUUAUAGUGAUCCGAUGGUGUUUUAUAAAGAACCCAACGAUAAACAGAUAAAAGGUACGCUAGGGAUAACAGGCUAAUAGUUUCUUAGAGUUCAUAUCGACGAGACUGUUUGGCACCUCGAUGUCGGCUCAUCGCAUCCUGGGGCUGAAGGCGGUCCCAAGGGUUAGGCUGUUCGCCUAUUAAAGCGGUACGCGAGCUGGGUUCAGACCGGCGUGAGCCAGGUCGGUCCCUAUCUGCUGUGGGCGUUGCAAACUUGAGAGGAGUCAACUUUAGUACGAGAGGAUUAGGUUGGACUGACCCCUGGUGAUCCUGUUGCGCCGCUAGGUGCAUCGCAGGGUAGCUACGUCGGGCAGGGAUAACAGCUGAAAGCAUCUAAGCAGGAAGCCCCCCUCGAGAUCAGGUUUGCUAGUUUUUAACGAGAGACCCCAGGGAGACUACCUGGUUGAUAGGCCGCAAGUGUAAGGACUGAGAAGUCUUCAGCUGAGCGGUACUAACGGUCGAA